CGACGGAGCACCCUUGAUUGAGGUUUCGGCCAAUGAUAGGAAUGCUUAGUGGCGGACUGGUGAGUAACGCGUGAGGAACCUGCCUUUCAGAGGGGGACAACAGUUGGAAACGACUGCUAAUACCGCAUGACGCAUUUUGAUCGCAUGGUCGAAAUGCCAAAGAUUUAUCGCUGAAAGAUGGCCUCGCGUCUGAUUAGCUAGUUGGUGAGGUAACGGCCCACCAAGGCGACGAUCAGUAGCCGGACUGAGAGGUUGACCGGCCACAUUGGGACUGAGAUACGGCCCAGACUCCUACGGGAGGCAGCAGUGGGGAAUAUUGGGCAAUGGGCGCAAGCCUGACCCAGCAACGCCGCGUGAAGGAAGAAGGCUUUCGGGUUGUAAACUUCUUUUAAGUGGGAAGAGUAGAAGACGGUACCACUUGAAUAAGCCACGGCUAACUACGUGCCAGCAGCCGCGGUAAUACGUAGGUGGCAAGCGUUGUCCGGAUUUACUGGGUGUAAAGGGCGUGCAGCCGGGCAUGCAAGUCAGAUGUGAAAUCUCAGGGCUUAACCCUGAAACUGCAUUUGAAACUGUAUGUCUUGAGUGCC
rnacentral:rRNA from 1 species